rnacentral:lncRNA from 1 species
GGAGAGGAGAGGAGAGGAGAGGAGAGGAGAGGAAUGAACAAUGAACUGAGGAGAGGAGAGGAACAAACAAUGAACUGGGGAGAGGAGAGGAAUGAACAAUGAACUGGGGAGAACAGAGGAAUGAACAAUGAACUGGGGAGAGGAGAGGAAUGAAUGAAUUUGAACUGGAGAGAGGAUUGAGAGGAAUGAACAAUGAACUGGGGAGAGGAAUUAACAAUGAACUGGGGAGAGGAAUGAACAAUGAACUGGGGAGAGGAGAGGAAUGAAUGAAUUUGAACUGGAGAGAGGAUUGUAAUGAAUGAACAAUGAACUGGGGAGAGGAGAGGAAUGAACAAUGAACUGGGGAGAGGAGAGGAAUGAAUGAACAAUGAACUGGGGAGAGGAGAGGAAUGAACAAUGAACUGGGGAGAGGAGAGGGAUGAACAAUGAACUGGGGAGAGGAGAGGAAUGAACAAUGAACUGGGAGGAAUGAAUAAACAAUGAACUGGGAGGAAUGAACAAUGAACUGGGGAGAGGAAUGAAUGAACAAUGAACUGGGGAGAGGAGAGGAAUGAACAAUGAACUGGGGAGAGGAGAGGAAUGAACAAUGAACUGGGGAGAGGAGAGGAAUGAAUGAACAAUGAACUGGGGAGAGGAGAGGAAUGAACAAUGAACUGGGGAGAGGAGAGGAAUGAACAAUGAACUGGGGAGAGGAAUGAACAAUGAACUGGGGAGAGGAAUGAACAAUGAACUGGGGAGAGGAGAGGAAUGAACAAUGAACUGAGGAGAGGAGAGGAAUGAACAAUGAACUGGGGAGAGGAAUGAACAAUGAACUGGGGAGAGGAGAGGAAUGAACAAUGAACUGAGGAGAGGAGAGGAAUGAAUGAACAAUGAACUGGGGAGAGGAGAGGAAUGAACAAUGAACUGGGGAGAGGAGAGGAAUGAACAAUGAACUGGGGAGAGGAGAGGAAUGAAUGAAUUUGAACUGAGGAGAGGAGAGGAAUGAACAAUGAACUGGGGAGAGGAAUGAAUGAACAAUGAACUGGGGAGAGGAGAGGAAUGAAUGAAUUUGAACUGAGGAGAGGAGAGGAAUGAACAAUGAACUGGGGAGAGGAAUGAACAAUGAACUGGGGAGAGGAGAGGUAU